rnacentral:rRNA from 1 species
UAGGGAAUCUUCCGCAAUGGGCGAAAGCCUGACGGAGCAACGCCGCGUGAGUGAAGAAGGAUUUCGGUUCGUAAAGCUCUGUUGUUAGGGAAGAAUGAUUGUGUAGUAACUAUACACAGUAGAGACGGUACCUAACCAGAAAGCCACGGCUAACUACGUGCCAGCAGCCGCGGUAAUACGUAGGUCCCGAGCGUUGUCCGGAUUUAUUGGGCGUAAAGCGAGCGCAGGCGGUUAGAUAAGUCUGAAGUUAAAGGCUGUGGCUUAACCAUAGUACGCUUUGGAAACUGUUUAACUUGAGUGCAAGAGGGGAGAGUGGAAUUCCAUGUGUAGCGGUAAAAUGCGUAGAUAUAUGGAGGAACACCGGUGGCGAAAGCGGCUCUCUGGCUUGUAACUGACGCUGAGGCUCGAAAGCGUGGGGAGCAAACAGGAUUAGAUACCCUGGUAGUCCACGCCGUAAACGAUGAGUGCUAAGUGUUGGUCUCAUAAGAGAUCAGUGCUGCAGCUAACGCAUUAAGCACUCCGCCUGGGGAGUACGACCGCAAGGUUG